CCUAAGCACUCAGUGAGCCCCUGUCUCAAAACAUAAAAAGGGCAGGGGAUGUGGCCCUGUGGUUAAGCACCCCUGGGUUCAAUCCCCAGUACCCAAAUAAUAAUUUGAAAAGCUGGGGGGUAUAGCUCAGUGGUAAAAUACUCAUGAGUUAAAUCCUUAGUACCCUAAAUAAAUAAAUAGGACAGAGAGGGCAACUCCAUGAUAAAGUGCCCCCCCGGGUUCAAUUCCCAGUACAAAAAAAAAAAAAAUGCUCCCACCUGCCCACUCCUGACUGUGCUAUUCUCAGGCUCCAGAAGCCCAGAUGAAAGGCUGUGGUCCCCCUCUCCCACCCAGGGCUUGGAAGUGGAUUAAGCUGUCAAGAGUCAAAGAAAACAGACCCCAAGAGCUCUCCUGGAAUGUGAGUUGGGGAAUGGCCAGGCCUGCCCUCUUCCAUUGGGCCACUGUAUCCACGGGGCUCUGCAGCACGUCCAAUGUCCACUCUCAGCACACACCCGCCCCCCCCACUGCAGUGAACCCCCAGAGGCUGCCAAGAAGUGAGCUGAGCCUUGAAGGAAGGACAAAGAUAGCGUCUGCCCCACCCCAUGGCUGCCCCAGAGCUCCCAGGCCUGGUUCGGGUUGCAUAGAUUGAGGUCCUCUUUAGGCUGAGAGUGGAGUUCAGGAAGGGCCAGUGGAUGUGGAUCAGGAUGUGGCCACCCUUCUGGUGACCCACCCCCCAUCCCACGACUCCUUCCCAGUUCCUUCGCAGCCAGGAUCCUGGUGGGAAGACCCUCUUGGGAGGCUGUGCUGGGGCAAAAGAAGCUCUCACUUCCUGAGCCCUAGAAUAAGAGACCUCUGCAACAAUCUGUCACCACCCCACUGUCCUACCCAUGCAGCGCCUCAGAGCCCAGGACCCAGGGGCCAAGGGCUUUACCACUGCCCUCCACAAUGGCUGUUUGGUCUGGUGAGGUUCCUUCUACAAUUUCAUUCAUAACAAACAUUUCUUCUCCUUAAAACACCCCAAAAAACUACAAAUCCACCCCUGGGCCCUGUUUUUAUCUCAAUUAUUCUGGUCAUAGGACUUGUCCAAGGCCAGCUGGUGAGAGGACACCCAGCCAC
rnacentral:lncRNA from 1 species